rnacentral:rRNA from 1 species
AACGAACGCUUGCGGCAGGCCUAACACAUGCAAGUCGAGCGAGAACGGUUCUUUCGGAACUUAUUAAAGCGGCGGACGGGUGAGUAACGCGUGGGAAACUGCCUUAUAGUGGGGGAUAACUAUUGGAAACGAUAGCUAAUACCGCAUACGCCCUACGGGGGAAAGAUUUAUCGCUAUAAGAUGUGCCCCGCGUUAGAUUAGUUAGUUGGUGAGGUAAUGGGCUCACCAAGCUACGAUCUAUAGCUGGUUUGAGAGAAUGAUCAGCCACAUUGGGACUGAGACACGGCCCAGACUCCUAC